GUAACGCUUUGGUUCUAAUCUGGACUAAGGGGUCCAGACAGCUGCCAGUUCAUUGUAGAGUGAAAUGAACUUUUCUUCCGAAUGCCAUUGAAGAUGACUUGAGGCCAACCAUAACAGGAAAGAAGGAAAUAAGACUAUUGGCUUCCCAGAUAACAAUCAACAUCUGAACAUUAGUUCCAUCUGCAAGAACUCCUUCUUCUCAAAAGCAAAUGGCACAUGGUGUUCUCAAUAAUGCAAUAAACUCUGAUAAAUAUGCCUUUUAAAAAAGGAGAGCACCAUAUAAACAUGCCAAGCGAUGAAUUUUCUGAACCAAGACAUUAUCAUGGUCUGUAAGCUGAUAGUUGUGUUAGGAUAAAAAGGAUAAAAAGACAGAUUACACACGGAGUAAUGUCAUUUUCUAGCCGUCUUUACCCAAAGGCUAUCCAAUGAGGAAUCAGUUUUCUCUGGGAAUCUGUGGGUUACGGAUGGCUCAGGCUUGGCUAUUCAUGGUCUGUAUUCUCUUUUGCCUCAUCCAAAAAGGAGAUGCAAUAAAAUGUGCAAGAUGUACUAUUAUAAAUGUGUUAGGAUUUAUACUACCAAACAAAUGUUCUCCUCUUCGAAGCACGUGUGAAAUAAUUGCCAAUAAGGCUGUCUGCUUCACCAAGACGGAGGGUUAUAUAGGUUCUCGAAAGAUCACAAAGGACUGUCACCAUACGGAUGAUUUUUGUAAAAAUCUCCCGAGUGUUUGGACUUCUUUUCUUCAAUAUACUUGCUGUUCUCAUCAAGACCUUUGCAACCUAUGAAUUUAGUUGCUUUGUGGAGAUGCCAGAGAUUGAGAUACUAUUAAGAAACAAAAGCAACCCCAAAUGUAGACAAAGUAAUAUGAUUUCUUUCUCAUGAGUUUCCAAUUAAUUAAACACCAUAUUAAUUAAACACCAGAAUCCACAUAAUCAAACAGUCACAUAAUCAAACACCAGUGUAGCGCUUGAAUUCAUCUAUUCCCUGGGUUUCUAGCAACCCAUUUUAAAGGAUUCCUUUUUAAAAAAAUGUUAUAAAACAAUAUGAAUGUUCAGUGAGACGGCAUGACAGUUAUAGCCUGGAACAGAGAUUUGGUUCUCACUCCACUAUGAACCUUGGAUUGGAUCUAUAUUGCCCUAUAUCCCAUGACCUAUAUCUCAGUCAUGAAUCAGGAUGGAAACUAUAGUCAAGGAAUUAAAAGAAAGUUAAGAUUUUGAUGGGCAACAGAAGAAAUUAAACAAGAUCCCAAAGUAAUAAAUGAUAUCACUGAAUACCAAAGUUUGAUUAUCCACUCUAUCGUAUUUUUUAUUUUUAUAUAUGGUUGUGGAAGCUGGAGAGGGGAGAGAGCUGACAACAAGAGAAUGUUGUGUGAAUACCACAGAUUACCAAAAGA